rnacentral:rRNA from 1 species
AGAGUUUGAUCCUGGCUCAGAUUGAACGCUGGCGGUAUGCUUAACACAUGCAAGUCGAACGGUAACAUAGGCGCUUGCGCCUGAUGACGAGUGGCGGACGGGUGAGUAACGCGUAGGAAUCUGCCUGGUAGUGGGGGACAACUUGGGGAAACUCAAGCUAAUACCGCAUACGCCCUACGGGGGAAAGCGGGGGCUCUUCGGACCUCGCGCUAUCANAUGAGCCUGCGUUAGAUUAGCUAGUUGGUGGGGUAAAGGCCUACCAAGGCGACGAUCUAUAGCUGGUCUGAGAGGACGAUCAGCCACACUGGGACUGAGACACGGCCCAGACUCCUACGGGAGGCAGCAGUGGGGAAUAUUGNACAAUGGGCGCAAGCCUGAUCCAGCAAUACCGCGUGUGUGAAGAAGG